GAUGAAGAACGUAGCGAAAUGCGAUAAGUAAUGUGAAUUGCAGAAUUCAGUGAAUCAUCGAACCUUUGAACGCACAUUGCGCCCGCCAGUAUUCUGGCGGGCAUGCCUGUUCGAGCGUCAUUUCAACCAUCAAGCCUCAGGCUUGUGUUGGAGCCCUGCGGCUGCCGCAGCCUCCCAAAACCAGUGGCGGGCUCGCUAUCACACCGAGUGCAGUAGUUUACUCUUCGCUCAGGGCGUGUGGCGGGUGCUAGCCGUGAAACCCCCAACUUCUCAAGGUUGACCUCGGAUCAGGUAGGAAUACCCGCUGAACUUAAGCAUAUCAAUAAGCGGAGGA
rnacentral:misc_RNA from 1 species